GCCCAUGUAGCUCAGUUGGCAGAGCACAUCCUUGGUAAGGAUGAGGUCACCGGUCCGAUUCCGGUCAUGGGCU
rnacentral:tRNA from 1 species